rnacentral:rRNA from 1 species
UCCCAUUCCGAACACGGCAGUUAAGCCCCUCAGCGCCGAUGGUACUUGUCGGGCGACCGGCUGGGAGAGUAGGUCGUUGCCAGGA